rnacentral:rRNA from 1 species
UACAGGGGGUGCAAGCGUUGCUCGGAAUCAUUGGGCGUAAAGCGCACGUAGGCGGUUCGUUAUGUCGGAUGUGAAAGCCCUUGGCUUAACCGAGGAAGUGCAUCCGAAACUGGCGAGCUAGAGUACUAAAGAGGAUCGCGGAAUUCCCGGUGUAGAGGUGAAAUUCGUAGAUAUCGGGAGGAACACCGGUGGCGAAGGCGGCGAUCUGGGUAGAUACUGACGCUGAGACGCGAAAGCGUGGGGAGCAAACAGG